rnacentral:rRNA from 1 species
CGUGGGUAACCUGCCCAAGAGAUCGGGAUAACACCUGAAACAGAUGCUAAUACCGGAUAACAACAGAUGAUGCCUAUCAACUGUUUAAAAGAUGGUUCUGCUAUCACUCUUGGAUGGACCUGCGGUGCAUUAGCUAGUUGGUAGGGUAACGGCCUACCAAGGCGAUGAUGCAUAGCCGAGUUGAGAGACUGAUCGGCCACAUUGGGACUGAGACACGGCCCAAACUCCUACGGGAGGCAGCAGGC